AGCCAAGUUGAUGGAAUCAGGAGAUGGAGACGGAGCCAGAGGUAAACUUGGUUUCUUCUUUGAUUUAGUGGGUGCUGGUGCGGGUACCUCAACCGGCAGAGAAGGCGCGGGUGUAAUCGUUGUUGGUGCAGGAGUGGGUGGUGUCGGUGGUGAACUCACUGGUGCAGAAAUAGGUGUUACGUUAGUAGUGGGAGGAGUGGCUGGUGCUGCGGUAGUGGUUGGAGAUGCAGCCGGCGUUGUGAUGGAAGAAGUAGUUGGAGCAGUGGCCGUGGGUGGUUGAACUGCAGUUACAUUAGUAGUAGGAGGAGUGGCCGUGGGUGGUUGAACUGCAGUUACGUUAGUAGUGGGAGGAGUGGCCGUGGGUGGUGGAACUGAAGUGGUUGUUGUUGUGGUGGGAGCAGUUGCGGUGGCAGUUGGAGGAGGGGAAGCUGGAGAAGGUGAGGUUGUAGGAGAAUCUGCGGCGGAGGUGAAUACGGCGGCGUCGUGCAAGGAGGCAAUGAUGGAAAGAAGAAAAACAACGGUGAGGAUUGAUCGGUGAGUCAUGAUGUUCGUCUGUGAUUAAUCUCGCUUGUUGAGAAAGUGAAUAGAAGAAGA
rnacentral:lncRNA from 1 species